rnacentral:rRNA from 1 species
UGGGGAAUAUUGCACAAUGGGCGAAAGCCUGAUGCAGCGACGCCGCGUGAGGGAUGACGGCCUUCGGGUUGUAAACCUCUUUCAGCAGGGAAGAAGCGAAAGUGACGGUACCUGCAGAAGAAGCGCCGGCUAACUACGUGCCAGCAGCCGCGGUAAUACGUAGGGCGCAAGCGUUGUCCGGAAUUAUUGGGCGUAAAGAGCUCGUAGGCGGUUAGUCGCGUCUGCUGUGAAAACUCGAGGCUCAACCUCGGGCUUGCAGUGGGUACGGGCUGACUAGAGUGCGGUAGGGGUGACUGGAAUUCCUGGUGUAGCGGUGGAAUGCGCAGAUAUCAGGAGGAACACCGAUGGCGAAGGCAGGUCACUGGGCCGCAACUGACGCUGAGGCGCGAAAGCAUGGGGAGCGAACAGGAUUAGAUACCCUGGUAGUCCAUGCCGUAAACGUUGGGCACUAGGUGUGGGGUCCAUUUCCACGGAUUCCGUGCCGCAGCAAACGCAUUAAGUGCCCCGCCUGGGGAGUACGGCCGCAA